CCUACGGGAGGCAGCAGUGAGGAAUAUUGGACAAUGGGCGAAAGCCUGAUCCAGCCAUGCCGCGUGCAGGAUGAAGGCCUUCGGGUUGUAAACUGCUUUUGUACGGAACGAAACGGCCUUUUCUAAUAAAGAGGGCUAAUGACGGUACCGUAAGAAUAAGCACCGGCUAACUACGUGCCAGCAGCCGCGGUAAU
rnacentral:rRNA from 1 species